UAUUUUAGUUUCUAUGGUCAC
rnacentral:miRNA from 2 species